UCUUCUUCUACAUUAAACUUUCUUCUUCAUCUCCACCAUCAUCACUGCCAAUAUCAUCACCGUGAAAGAUCAAAGACCCUCUUCCAUCCAUCCAUAUUUAACCACCACCACCACCAUCGACACCAUCAUCACUGUGAAAAAUCAAAACCCUCAUCAAUUUCAUUUUCUUUAAUCACCAUCAUCACGAUUUCGAUCAGAAGAUUUUUUUACCACCUCCACCAAACACGCGAGUCUGUUUUCUCUUAAUCACCACCUCCAAGAGGGUUUAAAGUAUGAUGAAAACCGGUUUCAUCCAGAUUUUAUUUGCAGUGUAUUUAGUUUCAGCAAGAAACUAUGAUGAAACACGAUUUCAUCCAGAGAUCUUGGUUCACUCAACACUAGAUACAUGUGAAGGUGCAGAUUUCAGCCACUAGUUGGCACAACAGACAAGGGAGUUCCUACCAAGCAGCUGCUGGUGUUCUCAGCCAAAGACAAAGCACACGGCAACAAGUAAAAGAUGGUGCAGGGAGUAUUGCUGCCGGUUCUCGGUCUCUACAAUAGCAUAGUGGUUUCAACGGAGAUUCAGGCUAUAACGUAAGAGAUCGAGAUAUGCUAUUCUGGAGGGCAUGAAUAUGGCACUGGUCUUUAGUAGUUACAAUAUUUGGCAGAAAGAUUCAGUUGAAACUGUUGCUACCGGUGGAGAAGGGAAGAAUAAUGUGUGAUUUUCACCUUGUUAACAAAGAUGGCGAUAAUGGGGAUGAUGAUGUUGGACGAUGAUCAGUCGAAAGAAAAACUCGAGUUUAAAGUGGUGUUGCGAUUUACCGGUUGAUGCUACUUAAACGAGUACAACUGCCAUGAAACUAAUAAGGGACUGCUA